rnacentral:rRNA from 1 species
GUCCACGCCGUAAACGAUGAAUACUAGGUGUUGGGGACAAAGUCCUUCGGUGCCGUCGCAAACGCAAUAAGUAUUCCACCUGGGGAGUACGUUCGCAAGAAUGAAACUCAAAGGAAUUGACGGGACCCGCACAAGCGGUGGAGCAUGUGGUUUAAUUCGAAGCAACGCGAAGAACCUUACCAAAUCUUGACAUCCCUCUGACCGGCGAGUAAUGUCGCCUUUCCUUCGGGACAGAGGAGACAGGUGGUGCAUGGUUGUCGU